rnacentral:rRNA from 1 species
GCUUCCGGAGCUAACGCGUUAAGUCGACCGCCUGGGGAGUACGGCCGCAAGGUUAAAACUCAAAUGAAUUGACGGGGGCCCGCACAAGCGGUGGAGCAUGUGGUUUAAUUCGAUGCAACGCGAAGAACCUUACCUACUCUUGACAUCCAGAGAACUUUCCAGAGAUGGAUUGGUGCCUUCGGGAACUCUGAGACAGGUGCUGCAUGGCUGUCGUCAGCUCGUGUUGUGAAAUGUUGGGUUAAGUCCCGCAACGAGCGCAACCCUUAUCCUUUGUUGCCAGCGGUCCGGCCGGGAACUCAAAGGAGACUGCCAGUGAUAAACUGGAGGAAGGUGGGGAUGACGUCAAGUCAUCAUGGCCCUUACGAGUAGGGCUACACACGUGCUACAAUGGCGCAUACAAAGAGAAGCGACCUCGCGAGAGCAAGCGGACCUCAUAAAGUGCGUCGUAGUCCGGAUUGGAGUCUGCAACUCGACUCCAUGAAGUCGGAAUCGCUAGUAAUCGUAGAUCAGAAUGCUACGGUGAAUACGUUCCCGGGCCUUGUACACAC